AAUCCUACGAGCGGAGGAAGAACCAACAGGGAGUCUGCCCCAGUAACGGCGAGUGAAGCGGCCAGAGCUCAAAUUUGAAAUCUGGCUCCUUCGGGAGUCCGAGUUGUAAUUUGGAGAGGAUGCUUCGGGUAUGGCCCCCGUCUAAGUGCCCUGGAACGGGCCGUCGGAGAGGGUGAGAACCCCGUCUGGGAUGGGAGGCCAGGCCCGUGUGAAGCUCCUUCGACGAGUCGAGUUGUUUGGGAAUGCAGCUCUAAGUGGGUGGAAAUUUCAUCUAAAGCUAAAUACUGGCCGGAACCGAUACAAUAUUAUAUUGAUCAAAGGGAAAGGUUUGGCAAGAUAGCAAAAGGGGCGCGCGCGCGCCAAAGGAAACGUGGCGGCCCACACCCCCCAGGGGGGGCUCCCCCCCCCCCGAUGCCCGUAACCCCGUCCCAGAGACGGGCCCCCCAUACUAAGGGGCCUCUCAAAAGGGACCGGAAAAGUCGACCACGAUU
rnacentral:rRNA from 1 species